rnacentral:rRNA from 1 species
GGUGAGAAUCCCGUGCGAUGAGAUGCCCAAUCCUAUGUAAGGUGCUUUCGAAGAGUCGAGUUGUUUGGGAAUGCAGCUCUAAGUGGGUGGUAAAUUCCAUCUAAAGCUAAAUAUUGGCGAGAGACCGAUAGCGAACAAGUACAGUGAUGGAAAGAUGAAAAGAACUUUGAAAAGAGAGUGAAAAAGUACGUGAAAUUGUUGAAAGGGAAGGGUUUGAGUUCAGACUC